UACGUAGGGUGCGAGCGUUAAUCGGAAUUACUGGGCGUAAAGAGUGCGUAGGCGGUUCGUUAUGUCUGCUGUGAAAGCCCCGGGCUUAACCCGGGAAUGGCAGUGGAAACUGGCGGGCUUGAGUGUGGCAGAGGGGGGUGGAAUUCCGCGUGUAGCAGUGAAAUGCGUAGAUAUGCGGAGGAACACCGAUGGCGAAGGCAAUCCCCUGGGCCUGCACUGACGCUCAUGCACGAAAGCGUGGGGGAGCAAACAGG
rnacentral:rRNA from 1 species